rnacentral:rRNA from 1 species
CACGUAGGGGGCAAGCGUUGUCCGGAUUUAUUGGGCGUAAAGAGCUCGUAGGCGGCUUAGUAAGUCGGGUGUGAAACCUCCAGGCUCAACCUGGAGACGCCACCCGAUACUGCUGUGGCUAGAGUCCGGUAGGGGGAGCGUGGAAUUCCUGGUGUAGCGGUGAAAUGCGCAGAUAUCAGGAGGAACACCAGCGGCGAAGGCGGCGCUCUGGGCCGGUACUGACGCUGAGGGAGCGAAAGCGUGGGGAGCAAACAGG